rnacentral:tRNA from 1 species
UGCAUCGGCCGGGAAUCGAACCCAGGCCGCCCGCGUGGCAGGCAAGCAUUCUACCACUAAGCCACCGAUGC